UACGUAGGGUCCAAGCGUUGUUCGGAAUUACUGGGCUUAAAGGGCGCGUAGGCGGCCUUCUAAGUCGACGGUGAAAUCCCUGGGCUCAACCCAGGAACUGCGUCCGAUACUGGAAGGCUUGAAUCCGGGAGAGGGAUGCGGAAUUCCAGGUGUAGCGGUGAAAUGCGUAGAUAUCUGGAAGAACACCAGUGGCGAAGGCGGUCAACUGGCCCGUAACUGACGCUGAGGCACGAAAGCGUGGGUAGCGAACAGG
rnacentral:rRNA from 1 species